UACGAAGGGGGCUAGCGUUGCUCGGAAUCACUGGGCGUAAAGCGCACGUAGGCGGAUUGUUAAGUCAGGGGUGAAAUCCUGGAGCUCAACUCCAGAACUGCCUUUGAUACUGGCGAUCUCGAGUCCGGGAGAGGUGAGUGGAACUGCGAGUGUAGAGGUGAAAUUCGUAGAUAUUCGCAAGAACACCAGUGGCGAAGGCGGCUCACUGGCACGGUACUGACGCUGAGGUGCGAAAGCAUGGGGAGCAAACAGG
rnacentral:rRNA from 1 species